AAGAACCCAUUGCCUCUAUGAUGAUCCCUGCGACAUACUCGACGCAGGCUCUCAUGGCUUCUGCUAAUUGUUCUAACGCACCCUGCAUUGCCUCUCCCGGAACUUUGAAUGCAUGGAUGAGCAGCACAAUAAGGUGAGCCACCGAGCUGAAGAUUAAACGGGUUACUAAGUUUGAUACUGCGGUGAUGACAAAGAAAAUUAAUUUCAGGAGCAGAACAACCAUUUUCGGUAUAUUGGUUUGAAGGAAUCAGGAGACAAGAAAAGGGCAGGUAUAGAGCUGAUAAAUUGUUUAUUGAUUUGUUUUCAAUUUAUUGUUUUGUUUGUAUAGUUUAAGCGUUGAAUUUGAUUAUUAAUAUUGUGUGUUUGUGACUUUGUGUUGCAUGUUGACGCAUCAUAUGGGGUAGUUGAUGUCCUCACUCUUUCCGGGAAAUUUAACGUUACACUUUUUAAAAAAAUGGUUGAUUCUAACUAAUCAUUUAUAAAAUAUAUGUUAUUGUACCUGUAAACGAUGAUUAAAAGAAUUUUAUACAAUGAUAAUUACCUAGACCAAGACUUUUUAAACGUUUUCUAGAAGUUGCUUCAGGAAGAAGCAAGAACAAGAUUAAGCUGUUGCUUGCAAGGACUGGAUAUUAACACUAACUAGGUCCGUACUGCAAUUAAUUUAAAUUAUAAAUUUGUUGAUUUUACAAUUGGGUUGCCAGCAUUAAUUUAUUCACAGAAGCUCCGGAACAAGUAUUUUUGUUCCCAGAGAGAGCAUCGACCAAAAGCCAAAAAUGCCAAACUGAAAAACUCUCAAGACUCAGAAUUCUUAAAAGAGAUUUUUAUAUGAAUUGCUCUAAUAUACAAGAGAUAUGACAGCAGAACAGUUUUGAAACUGUAUAUUAUUUAUAAAACUGCAUACACUAUACAACUCAAAAUCAUCCCUGAGUGGUUGCACACCAAAAUCUGAAAGCAGAGAGACCAAAUGCAUAUAUACAAAAUUAAGUUGAACAAAACCACCGCACCUUAUUUACAUAUACUUCCCGUUCUCUUUCUCUCUGAUUAAUUUUCUUUCAGCUUAUAUACAGCAUCGGCAUACUCUUCUGCAUCCCAAAGAAAAGAACCAAAAGCAAUUGCCUCCAAAACCAACCGCUUCAGACUUGAAAAUGAUGUCAAAAUAACCUCAUCAGUAUCCAGCAAACCCGUCUGUCCAUCACCAAAGAGUGC
rnacentral:lncRNA from 1 species